rnacentral:tRNA from 1 species
UGCUGACUUAGCUCAGUUGGCAGAGCACGUCAUUAGUAAUGAUGAGGUCGAAGGUUCGAAUCCUUUAGUCAGCACAAG